CUUCAUGUAAACAUUACCAUAUUGGUAAAUCAUCUUUUUUUAUCUCUCCUAAAAAUACCUGGAUUCCAAAUCCAAGAAAUUGCCUUACAUGGACAAUAAACCUGGGUUCUAGAUUGUUUGCAGUUUUUAUAGAUAUCUUGUUAGCUCUGACGAGCUGAAUGUUGCUUAAGUCUGUUCAUCAGAGGUAGCAGUAGUCCACGAUCCAUAUGUUUGUACUGCUCCUUUUUUUAAAUUAAGCUGCAGGUAAAGGUUAUGUAUAUUGUAGAGAUGAGCUUAUUUCAUGUACUUAUAAACAUGGCUACUUAACUAUUUUGUGGAUCUUUUUCUCCCAACAGAGAAAAACAAAAUCUUCAAAGCCCUCAAAAGCAGAAAAAGAUAAGGAGUCCAAAAAAGGAAAAGGAAAAAGUUUAAAGAAAUGAAACUAUUUCACUACCAACAGCCAUGUCUUACUCACCUCCUGACCAGUCUCACUGUUUUUCCAGAGGAACAACAUUUGGCAUCACGGAAUGACCUGGAGACUCCUUUGUACAGGGCGGUACAGCUAGCAGGAUGUAACUGGAAGGCUCACGUACACCUCUUAUAGAGGUUGAGAGACUGCUUUGGUCCUCCACUGUCGCCUGCCAAUCUAAUUUGAUUGUUGUGCUUCGAAAUGACUGUUAUCUCAUUAUAUCCAGAAACUACAUAUGGGCUUUGCAGUCAGAUUUUAGUUCGCAGUAACAAACCCAGGAGCACUGGUACUAAGGCAUCUUUUUUUACAGGCUGAAGAAGUUACCCUCAUGGCCCGUAUUGGACCAAUGCUGAUUUUUUUAAAAGGUGACUGGAUUAAAAAGCUGAUGGUUCCUUACUAACCAGUUGUGUGAAACAUUGGUAGUCAGAGUCAAGAGCUUGAAUCCCAGCGUCGCUCCCUCUGUGCUGACCUGGUCACUUCUGUGAGUACUCUCAUGGAGAGGCCUUGGGGACCCAGAGGGUGUGGGGACUGCACAAGGGUUGCCAGGCUCCCAUCCUGUUGCAGGCUCAGCCCGUCAGGCUCAAACCAGUAGGCCUGAGGUGGGGUCCUAUUGGGAGGCUCUGGCCGGGCCAGGAUGAACUCUGGCUUUUGUUUACUCUGCCCCUGGAGAUUGAGUUCUGUCCUCUGAUGGAUUCCAGAAGUCCUCAGGCUCUACCUAUAAUUAUGCUUGUGGAAUGGCCCCAAGGCUGUAGAUCUAGUCUGGAAUUUAGGUGCCCAGCUGCCUUUUAAUCUCAACAGUAAAUGCUCAGAGGUAUGUGCUGCUUCUGGAUGUAGACAUCAUGAAGAAUGUAAGAUAAGGGUUGUGUCCCCUCUGUUUAAGGACUCGUCGUUCUGUUGGGGGAUGAGACAAAGUUCUUGAGACAUUUAAAAUGUAUUUACCAGUGUGAAAACUGUCUUUCCUAGAGAUCAGUGUAUAUGAAAAGAAAACAUUGCCUCAAGCCUUUGCCCCUCUCUCUGUUAGAACCAGGCUGCUUCGUGCAGGCAUUCUGACAUACUGGAGGUGCAGGUCCCGCCUCCCCAGGUGCUCUGUACACUCCAGAAAAGGGCCUGCAACCUCCUGGCAGCCAGAAUAAAGAGCAGUGUCCUUUC